CACGUAGGGUGCGAGCGUUGUCCGGAAUUAUUGGGCGUAAAGAGCUCGUAGGCGGUGUGUCGCGUCGGCCGUGAAAACCUGCAGCUUAACUGUGGGCGUGCGGUCGAUACGGGCAUCACUGGAGUUCGGCAGGGGAGACUGGAAUUCCUGGUGUAGCGGUGAAAUGCGUAGAUAUCGGAAGGAACAUCAGUGGCGAAAGCGACUUCCUGGACCAGUACCGACGUUCAGGCACGAAAGCGUGGGGAGCAAACAGG
rnacentral:rRNA from 1 species